rnacentral:rRNA from 1 species
CGGACGGGUGAGUAACGCGUGAGAACAUGCCCUUAGGUUCGGGACAACAGUUGGAAACGACUGCUAAUACCGAAUGUGCCGAGAGGUGAAAGAUUAAUUGCCUAGGGAUUGGCUCGCGUCAGAUUAGCUAGUUGGUGGAGUAAUGGUUUACCAAGGCGACGAUCUGUAACUGGUCUGAGAGGAUGACCAGUCACACUGGGACUGAGACGCGGCCCAGACUCCUACGGGAGGCAGCAGUGAGGAAUUUUCCGCAAUGGGCGAAAGCCUGACGGAGCAAUGCCGCGUGGAGGAUGAAGGCCCGUGGGUUGUAAACUCCUUUUCUUAGAGAAGAAGCCCUGACGGUAUCUAAGGAAUAAGCAUCGGCUAACUCCGUGCCAGCAGCCGCGGUAAUACGGAGGAUGCAAGCGUUAUCCGGAAUCAUUGGGCGUAAAGGGUCCUGAGGUGGUUUGCUAAGUCUACUGUGAAAGAUCAGGGCUCAACCCUGAAGAUGCGGUGGAAACUGGCAGGCUAGAAUACGGUAGGGGCAGGGGGAAUUCCCGGUGUAGCGGUGAAAUGCAUAGAUAUCGGGAAGAACACCAAAGGCGAAGGCACCCUGCUGGGCCGAUAUUGACACUCACAGACGAAAGCUAGGGGAGCAAAUGGAUUAGAUACCCCCAGUAGUC